UAUGUGUAUUGAGUUGUCGAAGUCGAAGUCGGUCUUGCGAACGCAUCGAGCCGAUUCAUUUCAAAACACAUUUUGAAAGAUAAAUAAAAACAUUAACUUUCGAAAGAGACAAUAUUCACGAUAAGAUUUUAGUGUGUGAAUUUAAUUAUUUAACUUGUGACUGUUGGAAUUUUACUUUGCGAUAACUGUUUUAUUCGCCUUCUUACUACUUAGCAUACGAAAGAUGCACCACAAGAACUGGAUUUAACUUAACCCUUAACCUGUGGGCACACUUGAAAAGUGCUUGUGUUAAACUCAUAAGUGAAAUGGUUUUUAUUUCUAUGUGUUGUCAUCUUAUGGGGUAAAAAACAUUGGUACCCCUUUAGGGUGACGGUGUCAUGGCCUGGCAUGGGAAACUGAGGCCCGGUUUAUUACUUUUACUUUUUUCGUUCGUUGUUAUAUCGGAGGCGACAGCAAAAGCUCUAGAACAAUACAAGUAUGAAACCGCUUACGCUUGUGAAGGGAAAACAUUGAAAAUCGAAUGCAAGGAUGGUGAGGCGAUCAAACUGAUCCGUGCGAAUUAUGGACGAUUUUCGAUAACUAUUUGUAAUGAUCACGGAAACACCGAUUGGAGUGUCAACUGUAUGUCGCAGAAAUCUUUGAGGGUACUUCAUGCCAGGUGUACGCAUUAUCAAAACUGCAGUAUACCGGCGAUUACAAGCAUGUUCGGAGACCCUUGCCCUGGGACGCAUAAAUAUUUAGAAGCUCAUUAUCAGUGUCUGCCCGCAACGACUACCACGACAACAAGCCGUCCAAGUCCGCCAUGGCUGAUAACGUCCCAACCGCCAAUGUGGAGUACCAUUAAAACUCCAUCCGCUCGUCCUCCUACCACCAGGGGUACCAUAACCCUUCCUGCUCCCAUACCUGGUCCAAUGCCUUCCUCCACUUCUGUAAACAUUCCUACUUCUACCUCUGGAGGGCAUCCAGAAAUUGGUCCACCAAUUGAGACUGUAUCCAAAAAGAACUCGGACGUUUGGAGUUGGGCUCCAAAUAAUAACAAUAAUAAUUAUGACAUUACUACAUUACCGCUCACUACCAUUAUGCCAAUUGGCGGAGUGAAUAAGAAGACGCUGGCAGCUGACUCAUCAACAUCUUCCUAUUCUUCAUCAAUUCCAAGUAUCUAUACUUGGGAUAAAGACUUGGAUUAUCUUCCAUAUCAUUGUAACUCCACCACAGUACGAAAUAUUUUUUGGAAAAGCACUCGCGUUAAUGAGACUGCAAUCCAACCAUGUCCCCCUGGCACAACUGGUUUUGCCAAGUGGCAUUGUGCAGAUGUACAAUUUUCAACGAAUCCCGAAUGGAUACCACUUAAUCCAGAUUUAAGUGAAUGUCGUUCUGUUUGGUUGACUAGUUUGGAACAAAGAUUGUUAAUUGGAAAGGACUUGCUGAUGUCCAUAAUUAGGGAUUUAUCGACAGUAACUGGUAGUAAAACGCUUUAUGGGGGAGAUAUGGCUAUAACAACAAAAAUUAUACAAAAAAUGACUGAAAAAAUGUCUCAGGAUAUUCUUACAUUCCCAGAUACGAGGCAAAGGGAAGCUAUAGUCACAGAAAUGUUAGGUUACGUAACUAAGACGAGCAGCAACUUAUUGGAUGCUGCUCAGUAUAGUUCCUGGAAAGAUUUGAGUCACAAGGAACAAAUGAGUGUAGCAACAUCUCUUCUAAUUGGGUUAGAAGAAAAUGCGUUUUUAUUAGCCGAUACUGUUACUAGUCAGAAAACCGUUAAUAGGAGAGAAAAAAAUAUUUUGCUUUCCGUACGGGUAUUGGAUACGAAAUACCUAACUAAUGAAUUGUUCCCCUCCGAUGACAGUAAUAAUGACUGGAAAGCUAGCAACGACUCGAUAGAAUUACCCAAAGAAGCUUUAUUGGAAAAUACCGAUAGCAACCUUGUUAAACUUGUUUUUGUGGCAUUCGACAGACUGGAAGAAAUCCUACAAUGGCAUCCUGAUAAUACUGACGCUGCCAAUAAUAUAACAAGGAUUCUUAAUAGCAAAGUUAUAUCAGCAAGUCUUGGCAAAGGGCGCCAUAUUCAAUUAAAAGAACCUGUAAGACUGACAUUAAAACAUAUUAGGACAGAAAACGUUAGCAAUCCAAGAUGUGUUUUUUGGGAUUAUACUACUAAUGCUUGGUCUGAAGAAGGAUGCCACGUGGAUGUCUCUGAAUCGAAUUAUACACACACAGUUUGUUCCUGUGAUCACUUAACUAACUUUGCAAUUUUAAUGGAUGUGCAUGAUAUUUAUCUACCAAUACCACAUGAAAUUGCUUUGCAAGUGAUCACCUAUGUUGGCUGUGUCAUAUCCAUUAUUUGUCUCAUACUUGCUAUUGUGACAUUUCAGUUAUUUCGUGGACUCAAGAGCGACAGAACAACGAUACACUGUAACUUAUGUACAUGCCUCCUCAUAGCUGAAUUUAUAUUCCUUGUCGGAAUAAACAGAACGGAAAAUAGGAUAUUUUGCGGAGUGAUUGCUGGAGUAUUACAGUAUUUCUUUUUGUGUUCAUUUGUGUGGAUGUUUUUCGAAGGUUUUCAACUCUACGUGAUGUUAAUCGAAGUAUUUGAAGUAGAGAAGUCCAGGAUACGAUGGUACUACAUCUUCGCCUAUGGUCUUCCAUUUCUAAUAGUGGUGGCCUCUGCAACAGUGUACCAUCAAGGCUACGGUACUGUUAGGCAUUGUUGGUUAAAAACUGACAAUUAUUUUAUUUAUACCUUUGUCGGUCCCGUACUUAUCGUGAUGCUGCUGAAUGUCAUAUUUUUGACAAUGGCAAUAGUAAUGAUGUGCAGGCAUGCAAGCGCUUCUGUGUCAAUGAAAAAUAAAGAACAUUCCAGGCUUGCUAGCACGAGUGGAAAGGAGGAAAAUGCACUUCGUAUGAAAUUUGACUUGGCAUGGUUGAAAGGAGCGUUCGUUCUAGUUUUCCUGCUAGGACUCACUUGGAUCUUCGGAUUUUUAUACAUUAACCAGGAAUCGGUUGCCAUGGCUUAUUUGUUUGCCACUUUCAAUUCCUUCCAAGGUUUCUUUAUAUUCCUUUUUCACUGCGUUCAAAAUGAAAAGGUCCGAAAAGAAUAUCGCAAAUUCAUCCGUCGUCAUUCCUGGUUACCAAAAUGUCUACGUUGCUCAAAAUCCGGUUCUGGCGCAGGUAGUAGCAGCACUGGCAACACCGGAAGCUGUACUACUAGUGGCGGGGUUGGAGGCAAGGAAAGACGACCAAGUCUUUACGGAUCAAACGGGAACCCAUCUGCUGGCACCAAUUCCCAUUCGACGGAUAAUUCCGUUCUAACACCUCACGGAACUAGUGUGGGUACCAAUAGCAACAACAGUAUAGUGAUCUCGAAUAAUCUAAAUAACGCGCGGCCUACGGCACUAGUGCAGAUUUUGUCUCGAACCGAUCUGAACAAUGCUAGUACCACCAUGACCAACCACAAUCGACAGCAUAACGUUUCCCAACAAGUUGCAACGAGGUUGGAACUCCCAGAGCUGUACAAACGUCAAUCGAGCAUGUCGCACACCUGUACCCACAUCUACGUCGGCCAACACGGCUGCUACUCUGUCUCGCCCCCCACGUCCCACAGAUUCCGUUCCUUCUCCCGACCUCGAAGCCCCUAACACUUCCACCCUUCCAUACAUUCGCAAUGUCUAUAAAACCUCCUCCGUCAAUCCUAACAUCCCUAAAUCUGUUUCUACUUGGGGUCCUCUGCACAAACCCUUACACUGGAAGAACAUUUCUUUUAAGUCGUAUAGUCGAGAUUCCGGACAUGGAGGGUCGGAGCAAGAAGAAUCUCCCAGAUCGCACAUGAUAAUAACCGAAGCCCAUCGUCAUUCUGCCACGUUAGCCAAAGAGCUCCAACGUCAAGCUCAGGCUAAUCA
rnacentral:misc_RNA from 1 species